rnacentral:rRNA from 1 species
UACGUAGGGGGCAAGCGUUGUCCGGAUUUAUUGGGCGUAAAGAGCGUGUAGGCGGCCAGGGAGGUCCGUUGUGAAAACUCGAGGCUCAACCUCGAGACGCCGAUGGAACCCCCUGGCCUAGAGUCCGGAAGAGGAGAAUGGAAUUCCUGGUGUAGCGGUGAAAUGCGCAGAUAUCAGGAAGAACACCCGUGGCUAAGGCGGUUCUCUAGUACGGUACUGACGCUGAGACGCGAAAGCGUGGGGAGCGAACAGG